UACGGAGGGUGCAAGCGUUAUCCGGGUUCACUGGGUUUAAAGGGUGCGUAGGUGGGCUGGUAAGUCAGUGGUGAAAUCUCCAGGCUUAACUUGGAAACUGCCAUUGAUACUAUUAGUCUUGAAUACCGUGGAGGUCAGCGGAAUAUGUCAUGUAGCGGUGAAAUGCUUAGAUAUGACAUAGAACACCAAUUGCGAAGGCAGCUGGCUACACGAAUAUUGACACUGAUGCACGAAAGCGUGGGGAUCAAACAGG
rnacentral:rRNA from 1 species